AGUAAAUUUUCUGAAUCCAUCAUUUUGGAGAUCGAUCAUUAGAGGGGUUAUAUAACCACGUGUCAUCGUCCCCUUUAAUCUUUUUUUUUCUUUUUCUAUUCUCUCUUUCUUUCCCUUUGUCACCGUGUCUCUCGUCUUCUCGCGACUCCAUGAAUGUCUGCUACCUUCCCUCAAUUCUCCAAUCACUAGGAUCUGAUUCUAUUCACGGUCUCUGAUCUUCGCUUCUUCAACUCUUCUUCUCUGGGUUUAGUGUUUAACCAAUUACACAAAGUCCGACUACUUAAAAGACCUGAACGAUUCCAAGUUUACUGGAAUUGGUAUUGGGGUAUUGGUUCUGAUGACAAUUGGGUAGUGGUUGUCCUCACUACAAAGACACCGGAAGGUAGCUUUUCUCCGGCCGUUACUUACCAUUAUGCAGGAGGUUUCACACUCUGGCAUUAAUGGUUUUGUUAUCAGUUUCUUUUGUUGGUUCUUCUCUUUUGUUUCUUGUUGUUUUGAGUCUGGCACUUGGUUUGUUUGUCAUGUGUAAUAAUGGUCAUCAUCAUCUUUGUUUCUUUACCGUUUCAUUUACUCAAAAUUAUGUACUUGUGAUCAGCUUAAUUACAAUGCCAACUUUUUUUU